rfam:Myotis brandtii contig190810, whole genome shotgun sequence.
CAACCUCUGGUGUCUACCAUGAAUGUUG